rnacentral:lncRNA from 1 species
AAACUAUUUCCACUCUUGAAUCAAAAAUUGAUAUUUUAAACAAGGAAAUAGAAAUUCUUAAAGAGAAACAAAUUUUUGUUAGUGAAGUUUCUUCUUGCACCUCUUGUGAAAAUAAAAAGGAAAAUAUUUUCAAGUGUGAUGAUUGUAAUAUUUUGAAAAUUGAAAUUGAGGAUUUGCAAAACACACUUGCAAAAUUCACAAAGGGGAGAGAAAACUUGAACAUCAUUUUGGGAAAUCAAAAGGGAACUUAUAAUAAAGCCGGUUUGGG